AACGCUAGCUACAGGCUUAACACAUGCAAGUCCAGGGGAAGCAUGGUCUUAGCUUGCUAAGGCCGAUGGCGACCGGCGCACGGGUGAGUAACACGUAUCCAACCUGCCCCUGACUCGGGGAUAGCCUUUCGAAAGAAAGAUUAAUACCCGAUGGCAUAGUUCUUCCGCAUGGUAGAACUAUUAAAGAAUUUCGGUCAUCGAUGGGGAUGCGUUCCAUUAGGUUGUUGGCGGGGUAACGGCCCACCAAGCCUUCGAUGGAUAGGGGUUCUGAGAGGAAGGUCCCCCACAUUGGAACUGAGACACGGUCCAAACUCCUACGGGAGGCAGCAGUGAGGAAUUUUGGUCAAUGGACGAGAGUCUGAACCAGCCAAGUAGCGUGAAGGAUGACUGCCCUAUGGGUUGCCAACUUCUUUUAUACGGGAAUAAAGUGAGGCACGCGUGCCUUUUUGUAUGUACCGUAUGAAUAAGGAUCGGCUAACUCCGUGCCAGCAGCCGCGGUAAUACGGAGGAUCCAAGCGUUAUCCGGAUUUAUUGGGUUUAAAGGGAGCGUAGGCGGACGCUUAAGUCAGUUGUGAAAGUUUGCGGCUCAACCGUAAAAUUGCAGUUGAUACUGGGUGUCUUGAGUACAGUAGAGGCAGGCGGAAUUCGUGGUGUAGCGGUGAAAUGCUUAGAUAUCACGAAGAACUCCGAUUG
rnacentral:rRNA from 1 species